rnacentral:tRNA from 1 species
UGCAAUAUAGUAUAAUGAAGAUUAUAUAAGACUCAUGAUCUUAAGAUGAUGGUUUAAAUCCAUCUAUUGCAC